AUACGUAGGUGACAAGCGUUAUCCGGAUUUACUGGGUGUAAAGGGCGUGUAGGCGGUUUGGCAAGUCAGAAGUGAAAUUCCCGGGCUUAACUUGGGCGCUGCUUCUGAAACUGCUUAACUUGAGUGCUGGGGAGGAUAGUGGAAUUCCUAGUGUAGCGGUAAAAUGCGCAGAUAUUAGGAGGAACACCGGUGGCGAAGGCGGCCUGCUGGACGACAACUGACGCUGAGGCGCGAAAGCGUGGGGAGCAAACAGGAUUAGAUACCCUGGUAGUCCACGCUGUAAACGAUGAAUACUAGGUGUGGGGGGACUGACCCCCUCCGUGCCGCAGUUAACACAAUAAGUAUUCCACCUGGGGAGUACGAUCGCAAGAUUGAAACUCAAAUGAAUUGACGGGG
rnacentral:rRNA from 1 species